rnacentral:piRNA from 1 species
UGGAGCCAAGUGAAACCCCCUGACA